rnacentral:rRNA from 1 species
UGGGGAAUAUUGGACAAUGGGCGCAAGCCUGAUCCAGCCAUGCCGCGUGAGUGAUGACGGCCUUAGGGUUGUAAAGCUCUUUCACCCACGACGAUAAUGACGGUAGUGGGAGAAGAAGCCCCGGCUAACUUCGUGCCAGCAGCUGCGGUAAUACGAAGGGGGCUAGCGUUGUUCGGAAUCACUGGGCGUAAAGCGUACGUAGGCGGAUCGUUAAGUCAGAGGUGAAAUCCCGGAGCUCAACUUCGGAAUUGCCUUUGAUACUGGCGAUCUUGAGUUCGGGAGAGGUGAGUGGAACUGCUAGUGUAGAGGUGAAAUUCGUAGAUAUUAGCAAGAACACCAGUGGCGAAGGCGGCUCACUGGCCCGAUACUGACGCUGAGGUACGAAAGCGUGGGGAGCAAACA